GGCGGAGGGAAGCUCAUCCAUGGGGCUACAAACUGAGUGCUGCUCAUCACUCUUAUCUCCUCGUUCCCUGGGAAGGUCUGAGACUGGGGCCACCUAGUGGUCCUAACAGGGCCCUCCCUGAGCCCCGGGGAGGUGAGUUCCCAGAGAACGGGGCUCCAUGCUAUGGCAGACUGGGCAGGAGAACAGUGUUAAAUGGUAGUAGUAUUUUAUUCCAGACUUAAAUGAGAAUGAUUUUAUAAUUUAAUAUUAUACAUGACGAUGAUGACUUUGUCCUUAUAGAUUAAGUAGCGUAGUAAAGAUGUAUCUAUUUUCUUCUAGAAUUUUUUUUCAAUUAAGAUUGAACGCU
rnacentral:RNase_P_RNA from 2 species